UAGUUGGUGGGGUAAAGGCCUACCAAGGCGACGAUCUGUAGCGGGUCUGAGAGGAUGAUCCGCCACACUGGAACUGAGACACGGUCCAGACUCCUACGGGAGGCAGCAGUGGGGAAUUUUGGACAAUGGGGGCAACCCUGAUCCAGCCAUGCCGCGUGAGUGAAGAAGGCCUUCGGGUUGUAAAGCUCUUUCGUCCGGGAAGAAAUCGCACAGGCUAAUACUCUGUGUGGAUGACGGUACCGGAAUAAGAAGCACCGGCUAACUACGUGCCAGCAGCCGCGGUAAUACGUAGGGUGCGAGCGUUAAUCGGAAUUACUGGGCGUAAAGCGUGCGCAGGCGGUUUUGUAAGACAGGCGUGAAAUCCCCGGGCUCAACCUGGGAACUACGCUUGUGACUGCAAGGCUAGAGUACGGCAGAGGGGGGUGGAAUUCCACGUGUAGCAGUGAAAUGCGUAGAGAUGUGGAGGAACACCGAUGGCGAAGGCAGCCCCCUGGGCCGAUACUGACGCUCAUGCACGAAAGCGUGGGUAGCAAACAGGAUUAGAUACCCUGGUAGUCCACGCCCUAAACGAUGUCAACUAGGUGUUGGGUGGGUAAAACCAUUUAGUACCGUAGCUAACGCGUGAAGUUGACCGCCUGGGGAGUACGGCCGCAAGGUUAAAACUCAAAGGAAUUGACGGGGACCCGCACAAGCGGUGGAUGAUGUGGAUUAAUUCGAUGCAACGCGAAAAACCUUACCUACCCUUGACAUGUCCGGAAUCCCUGAGAGAUUGGGGAGUGCCCGAAAGGGAAUCGGAACACAGGUGCUGCAUGGCUGUCGUCAGCUCGUGUCGUGAGAUGUUGGGUUAAGUCCCGCAACGAGCGCAACCCUUGUCGUUAAUUGCCAUCAUUUAGUUGGGCACUUUAGCGAGACUGCCGG
rnacentral:rRNA from 1 species